GGUCUUAUAGUCAAAUAUGACGUCAAAUUGCAAAUUUGAAGGAGGGUUUAGCCCUAAGGCCU
rnacentral:tRNA from 1 species